rnacentral:misc_RNA from 1 species
UCAAGAACGAGGCUAUAGGUGAUGGGGUAGAGCAACAGAAUGAAGAUGAUGUAAAUACUGGUUUGAAUCUUCUAACGCGAAACACUGGUACUGAUCAUAAAUCAAUUGUGGAAGAUGGAACAUCUCAAAACAAGGAAGUUUACAAUCAAAGAAAGAAAGAGCUCGAACUUUUGCGGGCUGAAAUAAACCGCAUGAACGCAGAGAAUCAGCGUUUGAAAGUCAUAAUUAAUCAGGUGAACAACAACUAUUAUACCCUACAGAUGCACGUUGUUGCACUCAAGC